UGCUACUGCCUUCUGCCUGCCGCGCAAUAACGUCUCUCCUCUGUGAUGCCCUCCGCCAAAUGCCCGCCAGCUAUGGACCGAAACUCCUACAAGCUGUGAACCGAAAGAAAACUUUCCUCCUUUAAACUUGUGGGUGUGUGGGAUAUUUUGUCUCAGCAACAGAUGUGGAUCCAGAGAAGUCAUCCAGGGGCAACACACUUUCCAGGGCUCUUUCUGUGCCUCUUAGAUGGAAGCUUUCCUACUCUCAAUAAAUUCUUCUGACUCUUAACCUUCACUGUUCCUAGAAUUUACUCCUUGGUUUUAGAAAACAUGAACUCAGCAUUUCUGAUAUCAAGCAGGUUGGAAGUUUCUUUCCCCUACAUCAUUUGGAGAGCUUCCACCGUGAUAACAUAAUGGAGAAUACAAAGCAAUUGGAAAAAAAAGAAAAUCACACUUUACUGCUACAAAAAAGUCUCUAAAGGAAAACCUUAUGAAAGAGUCUGUUUCAGAGGUGCAUAGUGGCCAGCAGUGAAGACUGGAAAGCUUUGUAAUUAGAUGACUUCCUGGUCUUUACCAGCUUCCAUCGGUUGGAGAAUGUGGGCUUCGGAGCUGGACGGUUUCGUGUUUGGUAUGCUUGCAUGUAUAUAAGUGUAUAGAUAAUUGGUAUGUUUUGUACCGAGGACUUGAGCUGUGUAACAUUACUGUGGGAAGUUGCAAAUGAUGUAUGAAAUGAGAAAUCGGUGCCCACGGGUGGUACAUGGAUAGAACAGAGACAGUGGCACGCAAUCUCCUCUCUGUCAUUUGUCAUAGGGUUCAUCUCGUGAAAGGCAGACCGUAUCAAUAAACCUGAGCGCCACACAUGCAUACUAAACAAUAUGCUUCAUUGCUCGUUUUUAAAGUACUCCUUCCUUCUUGAAAACCAGUUUACAAAAACUAUUGUGCCCAAGGAAAGUGUAAGCAACUUCUAUUUUACUGAGUUCAAUUACACACCUAAAAAAUUAAAUUCAGGAAAUUCUAAAUACCACUGUACAUCUGCUUAUGUUCAGUAUCACUAAAUUGCUAGACUUGCUAUCCAAAGUAAACUUCUUGUGAGGAAACAGGCAGAGGUUUUAGCUAUAACAAUUGUCCAACAAUCAUUUGAAAAUGUCUCAGUGCAGAGUGACAUUUUGUAUCUUGAUUUUUUCUUUGAGGUAGGGUAUCAUUCAGUCACAGAAUUGAACAUGCUGAGCUUGAACUUGGGAUCCUUUUUCCUCAGCCUCCCACGAUAACUGAGUUAUGGAUUUGCUGCACCAUGCGCAGCUGCAUCUUGAUGUUUGAAAGGCUUUACGUCACACCUACCACUGACUGGCCACUUUUUCCUGAGCUAGCUUUAAUCUGAAAUGCUUGUGACUGACCCUUCACUCGCUGAUCAACCCUCAAAUCAAGUAUUACACCAACAGUGGUGUAACUAAAUAUUUAAUCCAUUUUCUUACAAAAUAUCCCAGUCCAGAAUAAAACAGCUGAGGGAAAAACUAAAAAGAUAAUAGUGAUAGUCUAGUUAGGAAGCUUGAAAAAGGUUUGCAAAUUGCCACUAUGUUGUAACAAUAAGAAACCAUUUGAGCAAAAUGAGAAAUCAACAACCCUUGUCCGAUCCCUAAAGAAAAGGAAAUAGCAGCACACACCUCUGCCCCCCUAAAGCCAAGAGAUCAAUAAGCAAAUACAGAGAAUCACAACAUACAGGAACAAAAACUCAUGAACCGAAUCAGUUUCUGAGGGGGAAACGGUGAAGUACAGGGUGGGGAAACCUAAACUGUAAUGAAGGAACUGCUAAAGAUUUAGUGCAAAGCACUGAGAGGUAAAAUUUUAGAGUGAUCCAGGUGUCUUAAUUACUUUUCUCUCACGGCUGAGACAAAAUGCUUGACACCCAAAGUUAAAGGAGGAAAGUUUCAUUUA